AUGGGUCCUGAACAAAGCAGAAGCUUAAGAUCCCACAGCAGAAGAGAAGGGACAACAGGAAUCUUAAAAAGCAGCAAAGACAGUCACCAAAGAGCCAAUCGACAAGACCACAGAAUAAGAGAGCUUCACUACUAUUUCAGUUCCCAGCCUUCGUGUGGUCAGCCAGCCUCCACCCACGCUUCCACCUUCUGGCAACCACCUGCCACCUUCACCUUCUGGAAGCAUGGGCACUCGGCCAGCCAGGAGAUUUCUGCUCUCUGACUGAACAAACACCUCCUAUCUUCCAGUCUGAACACAACCCUGAAACAAGGACUCAUGGUGGGUGUGGUGCUACCGGAGUUUGCAGUCUUCUGCCUGUAGGGAGGCUGGCCUCUUUAAAGUGAGAACAUUCCAAAGAGGGCUAUUUGUUUUUUUAAUUGAAGUAUAGUUGAUUUACAAAGUUGUGUUAGUUUCAGGUGUAGAGCAAAGUGACUCAGUUGCACAUAUGUGUAACUGAAUAAUCGCUCUUUCCCCUUUGGUAACUAUAGUUUGUCGUCUAUGCAAAGAGGUCUAUUUUCAAGUAAGGGAAGACCUGCAAGGUUUAAGUCUGAUUUCCUCAAAACACAGACCAGACAAAUAGAAGUGUCAGCCAGGUAAAUGGGCAUGGUGUGCUCUCAACAAAACAUAACCAAACUCAUUUUCCUAGUGACGUUUUGGAGUUUAUUGACUGGCAGUUUCAGGUUCUGGAAAUACAAAAAGGAUGGGUUCUGCCUUCCAGGAGCUAAUAGUGUGGUGAGGCUAACAAUAGCUUUGAAAGGAUGAAUAGUGAAAUCAGAUGACGAGCGUGAGAACAUGAAGGUAUGCCAAAUACUGUAAGGAAAUACAACAGAAGAACCAGGGAAGCAUCAUCAAAAUGAGGCCACAUGAUUGGAUUUAUAAGAUGAGUGAGUGAGUACUCAGUCGUGUCCAACUUUUUGCAACCCCAUGGACUGUAGCCUGCCAGGCUCCUCUGUCCAUGGGAUUCUCCAAGCAAGAAUACUGGAGUGAGUUGCCUUUUCCUACUGCAGGGGAUCUUCCAGACCCAGGGACUGAACCCACAUCUCCUGUGGCCCCUGCACAGGCAAGUCGAUUUAAUAACAUUAUCUUGAAGAACUUUCCAUAUCACUGCAUAAAAAGUUUCCAUGUUCUCUUUAAAUGCUACACAAUAUUCAAUUGUAUGGAUGAUUCAGUUUAUUUCACCAGUCUCCUACUAAUGGAUAUUUGAAUUGUUUCCAAUCUUUUCUAUUACAAACAAUGAUCUAAUGAAAAACCUGCCUUUAUAAGCAUUCAGACGUACCUGCAGGGAAAAAGUACCAGAGCCAGAUCACUGGGUCAAAGGGUAACUGCAUUUUAAAUCUAGAUACAGCCAAAUUGGCCUUCAUAAGGGUUGUGCAAUUGUUGUACUCUUUUGUACUCAUGAGAAGCACAGUGACAUUUUUUCCAUAUCUGAUCAACAAUGUAUGUAUGAUUAUCACACUUCAGAAUUUUUGCCAAUCCUAUGAAGUAAAAAGUGCUACAUAAUUUAAAUUUGCAUUUCUCUUACUGAGUCUGAAGAUCUUUGAUUUAGAGACAAUCCGUAUUUCUUGUUCUGUGAAUAAAAUGUUUGUGUUCUUUGCAUAUUUUUCUCUUGGUUUGCCAGUCAUUUUCUUAUUCAUUUAUAGAAGCUCUCCAGAUAGAGAUUAGCCCUUGACCAUUGUAAACUUCUUCCCUCAACUGUUACUUGUCUUUUGAAUUUGAUUAUUGGUUUUUUUUUAGCCAGGUAAAAAUUUUAAAUCUGAAUUUAGUCAAAUUUAUCAAUCUUUCUCUUUUACGGUUUCUGAAUUUUGAGUCAUAAUUUAUUUAAGAGGUUUAACUAUUUACUUCAAAGUUAAGAGAAAUUUACACAUAUUUCUUCUGUAUAUUCAUUUUUUGAAAUCCUAGUUAAAAAUAUCAUUUCUCCAUUUUUUCCAAAUGAAGUAGACUAUUUUAAGAAUGCCUUCCUCAUUUCUCCCUUCUUUCUUUUCAUAAUUCUUUUGAAAAUCACACUGAUCAUAAUAUAAAUUGAACUGUUAAGAUGGAAUUUAUUUGAAUGGUAUGAGAUAUAGAACCAAGUUCAUCUUUCACUGGAUAGCUACUGAGAAACGAAAUAUUUUCUGCCAUAUCAACAAACAAGGAUGUUACAGUCAUCAGUGACUGCAGCCUUCCAAUAUGGGCUGGUGAGCCCUAAGGGCACUCAGGAAGGAGAAAAAUACCAGUCAUCAGACUGCAGCCAUCCCCUAUGGUGAGCCUCAAGGAAGUUCAGGAUUUGAAAAACACAGGAUGCUGGCCCAGGAUGGCUGAGAUGCCUAUGAAAGGAAUGAUUUCAGUGAGCCCAGAUGCUUGCAUCUUCCCAUACAUAGAAAAGCGCUGAAUUCCUUAACUUGGGAUAUCUGGUUUUCCUUAAUUAACAACAAUCUUUUGGCUUUCAGACUAACCUACCCUUUGCUGCAGAACUUCUGUAUAAUCUGGCUCCUCUCCUCACCUCCUUGGAGCAGUUUACACAAGGUUACUUGACAUGCUGUCUGCCAGGUUUGAAGUCCUAAAAAUUCCCACUGAAUAAAACAUAACUCUCAAGAAUCUGCCUGCAAUGCAGGAGACCAGGGUUCGAUUCCUGGGUCAGGAAGAUCCCCUGGAGAAAGGUAUGGCAACCCACUUCAGUAUUCUUGCCUAAAGAAUCCCAUGGACAAAGGAACCUGGUGGGCUACAGGCUAUGGGGUUGCAAAGAGCUGGACACAACUGAGUGACUAACACUUGACUCAACUUUUAGGUUGUGAAUAUUUUUUAAAGUCAACACUACCACUUGGUCCAAGACCAUAUACUAAAA
ensembl:lncRNA